CCACAGAUCUGGUAGCUGGAUUCUUGCAUUGCUUCCCUAUUCUGCUAAAUUACCUGGCAGUGCAGUUCCCGCUAAGAAAAGGUCCUCAAACUCAGCCCAGGGGCUAGGAACCCUUUAUCCACCAAUGGACUAGCUUAAUUCUAUUUGACUGUAUCUCUAGGUCCCAGUUGCUUUGCUCCAUUUGUCCCUGAGCAUGGACUAAGGCAGAGAAGGCAGAACCAAACCCACAUGGUUGAGACCCACAUCUCAGUUCAGCAGUUCCAGAGAUCCUGCAAGCCCUAGAGCCUUUGCAGGCAGGGAUCAGUUCUUUGCUCUUUGAAACGAGAUGAUCCAUCUCACACUGAAAGUUUCCUAUCGUGAGGUUCAGUGUCAUCUAGAGUCAACGGAUGAAGUAUAAGUGUUCACUGUGGAAUUUCUACAACACAAAAAGAAGAGGCUGGAUAAAGAAGAUAAACUGAAUAUUGAAACUGUUCCUUUU
rnacentral:lncRNA from 1 species